rfam:Physcomitrella patens subsp. patens chloroplast DNA, complete genome.
GCGCUUUUAGUUCAGUCUGGUAGAACGCAGGUCUCCAAAACCUGAUGUCGUAGGUUCAAAUCCUACAGGGCGUG